rnacentral:rRNA from 1 species
UACAGAGGGUGCGAGCGUUAAUCGGAAUUACUGGGCGUAAAGCGUGCGUAGACGGUAGCGUAAGUCGGGUGUGAAAGCCCCGGGCUCAACCUGGGAAUUGCAUUCGAGACUGCUCUGCUAGGGUGCGGAAGAGGGAAGCGGAAUUUCCGGUGUAGUGGUGAAAUGCGUAGAUAUCGGAAGGAACACCAGUGGCGAAAGCGGCUUCCUGGUCCAGCACCGACGUUCAGGCACGAAAGCGUGGGGAGCAAACAGG